CAACCUACGGGAGGCAGCAGUGGGGAAUAUUGGGCAAUGGGCGCAAGCCUGACCCAGCAACGCCGCGUGAAGGAAGAAGGCUUUCGGGUUGUAAACUUCUUUUAAGAGGGAAGAGCAGAAGACGGUACCUCUUGAAUAAGCCACGGCUAACUACGUGCCAGCAGCCGCGGUAAUACGUAGGUGGCAAGCGUUGUCCGGAUUUACUGGGUGUAAAGGGAGCGUAGACGGCGCGGCAAGUCUGAAGUGAAAGGCAGGGGCUUAACCCCUGAACUGCUUUGGAAACUGCCAUGCUAGAGUGCUGGAGG
rnacentral:rRNA from 1 species